CCUACGGGUGGCAGCAGUGGGGAAUAUUGGACAAUGGGGGCAACCCUGAUCCAGCCAUGCCGCGUGUGUGAAGAAGGCCCUCGGGUUGUAAAGCACUUUCAGUGAGGAAGAACGCCUGGUGGUUAAUACCCAUCAGGAAAGACAUCACUCACAGAAGAAGCACCGGCUAACUCCGUGCCAUCAGCCGCGGUAAUACGGAGGGUGCGAGCGUUAAUCGGAAUUACUGGGUGUAAAGCGCGCGUAGGUGGCUUGAUAAGCCGGUUGUGAAAGCCCCGGGCUCAACCUGGGAACGGCAUCCGGAACUGUCAAGCUAGAGUGCAGGAGAGGAAGGUAGAAUUCCCGGUGUAGCGGUGAAAUGCGUAGAGAUCGGGAGGAAUACCAGUGGCGAAGGCGGCCUUCUGGACUGACACUGACACUGAGGUGCGAAAGCGUGGGUAGCAAACAGGAUUAGAUACCCUUGUAGUC
rnacentral:rRNA from 1 species